rnacentral:rRNA from 1 species
GUGGCCUACGGGACGCAGCAGUGGGGGAUAUUGCACAAUGGGGGAAACCCUGAUGCAGCGACGCCGCGUGGGUGAAGAAGCGCCUCGGCGCGUAAAGCCCUGUCAGCAGGGAAGAAAAUGACGGUACCUGAAGAAGAAGCCCCGGCUAACUACGUGCCAGCAGCCGCGGUAAUACGUAGGGAGCAAGCGUUGUCCGGAAUUACUGGGCGUAAAGGGCGCGUAGGUGGGCGCUUAAGUCAGGUGUGAAAACUCCGGGCUCAACCUGGAGACUGC